CUUUUACAAAAUCAUUUCAACAACUUCUUGAUUCAAUCAAACAAUUUCUGACACAUCAAACUAGUCGACAAGUAUGUAAAUCGCAUGAUCACAUGAACUUGUAGUUUUUCCGAAAACUAUAGUGUAGAUCCCGUUAUAUUUUGUGGAUCUUUGUAUAAAAUAGUUUAAUCUCGUAAAAACCUCGUUUUUAGAAUAAAUCCAUCUUUACAUCUUCCCGUCAUCUUUUACAAAGAUCGUUACUUUGUCGAAACUCUUCAUUUCACAAGUGUUUAUACACUUGUGGUUUGUAAAAAUCAUGCUUGUUAGUGUGUUAUCCGACUUUUAGAAAACAUGAUUUUCUCGACACUUGGUCCUUUGAAAAUACCACUUGCAGAUACGUAGAUCCGCUAGUUUUAAACACUAUUUUACAAGUAAAAAUACUUUUACACAAGUUUAUGUUUCUCGUUUCAUGUUUCUCGUGUGGUAGAGUUUCACCUUUUAACCCUUGUACCAUUCGAAACAAGCUUAUGUCAAGAUCCAUGAUCUUGACCAAACUGGGUUAAAUGGUGAUCCGAGCUACCACAACGUAGAUUGGGUCUAAAUAAUCACAACUUUCAAGUACUACAACUUUUACACAACUAUUAUGCCUUUAACCAUCAAUAUUCAUGUUUUUAGUAGACUUUAAUGUUUCAAAACGCAAGUUUUCGACUUUUAACCGUUACAAAUCUUAUUAACCACCUUAGAUUAGUUCGAGUAUGAGUUUUAAGUGUUAUACCUCUAGCUCGAGGCUUGGGAAGAAUCUAUGCGAAGAAGAGGUGGAUAAAAGCGAGAUAGAGAGGUCCUUUGCCUUCCGUUAGCUCCAAGACUCCUUAUGCGUGACCCUUGAAGCUUGUAGAUGAUAGAAAUGUGAUGGUCAAAAUCGAAAGGUGGUGGUGGUGUUGUUUGUGUCUUCGGCCGAGAACCAAAGAGAGGGAGAGAGGAGUGUGAGUGGUGAGUUGUGGUGAUGAAAGAUCAAGUGUGUAAGUGUUGUGUUUUAUAGACAAAAAUCAAGAUCAUGGUCCAAAGGUCCUAGUGUUCUCUUGAUAUGAGACACUAUGGAAUAUAAAAUUCAAAAAUGGUACAUGAUUAGUUACAUGGGGACCGAAUCGGCCCAAGGGGGGGGGGGUACUAGUUCAAUUUUAACUAGAUAGUUGAUGAUUAGUUAAGUUAA
rnacentral:lncRNA from 1 species